UACGUAGGGUGCAAGCGUUAAUCGGAAUUACUGGGCGUAAAGCGUGCGCAGGCGGCUAUGCAAGACAGAUGUGAAAUCCCCGGGCUCAACCUGGGAACUGCAUUUGUGACUGCAUGGCUAGAGUACGGUAGAGGGGGAUGGAAUUCCGCGUGUAGCAGUGAAAUGCGUAGAUAUGCGGAGGAACACCGAUGGCGAAGGCAAUCCCCUGGACCGGUUCUGACGCUGAGGCGCGAAAGCGUGGGGAGCAAACGGG
rnacentral:rRNA from 1 species